CAAUGGGGUGCCCGAGUGGUUGAAGGGGCACGCCUGGAAAGCGUGUGUACGGGCAACCGUACCGAGAGUUCGAAUCUCUCCCGUUCC
rnacentral:tRNA from 1 species